GCGAGCAGAUCUCUGGGCCGUAACUGACGCUGAGGAGCGAAAGGGUGGGGAGCAAACAGGCUUAGAUACCCUGGUAGUCCACCCCGUAAACGUUGGGAACUAGUUGUGGGGACCAUUCCACGGUUUCCGUGACGCAGCUAACGCAUUAAGUUCCCCGCCUGGGGAGUACGGCCGCAAGGCUAAAACUCAAAGGAAUUGACGGGGACCCGCACAAGCGGCGGAGCAUGCGGAUUAAUUCGAUGCAACGCGAAGAACCUUACCAAGGCUUGACAUACACCAGAACACCGUAGAAAUACGGGACUCUUUGGACACUGGUGAACAGGUGGUGCAUGGUUGUCGUCAGCUCGUGUCGUGAGAUGUUGGGUUAAGUCCCGCAACGAGCGCAACCCUCGUUCUAUGUUGCCAGCACGUAAUGGUGGGAACUCAUGGGAUACUGCCGGGGUCAACUCGGAGGAAGGUGGGGAUGACGUCAAAUCAUCAUGCCCCUUAUGUCUUGGGCUUCACGCAUGCUAC
rnacentral:rRNA from 1 species